rnacentral:lncRNA from 1 species
GCCAAUAUGUUGUACCAAUUUAUUCAGCCACCAACUGAUGACAAUUUAUGAUUUAAAUGUUAUCAAUGUAGUAGGGAAAAAUUCAAAGCUCAUCAGUCUUUCAGUUUACAUUAAGAACAUUUACAUUUAAGAACUAGGUAGAGAGGACUUCAAUCAUGAGUGGCUGCUUAUUAUAUUUCUGCUCUUUUUAGAAUCAACACAAAUAUUGAAGGAAAAGGAUUAUCAGUUACUAAUCAGGUGCCUCUUCCUUGUAGGGGCAGUGUACAAAGACCAAGGGCUUUGGGAUUCAAACCUACCUACUUAAAGAGCACCCCUCUCAGGCGGUGUUAGUUUUCAUUCAUUACCAAACAGGAACCAUUACAUUUCUAAGAGUAAAAGGAGGAUAGGUCUGAAAGGAGUUUGAUCAUUUAGCUAAGAGUCUUACCUUUAAGAGUCACUCCCAAACUACCCUCUGUGAGGCUCCACCCACCUUGGGAAUUAGAAGAGCUCAAUUUUUCCCCAAGUACUACAUAUCUUUG